GCACAUCCUGCAGCCUCCAGGCCGGCCUGCCCAGUCCCUCCACGCUGUCCACUGCCUCUCUCCUUCCCUCCCUCGGUCCUGCUCGGCCUCGUCUCUUUCUUCGAGCUGACACUUACUGGCUGCUGUCAGCGUGCCAGGCUCUGUAUUAGGAGCGACAUCGACAUUUGGUGGCCCGUACGGGGACUGAUCAACCCCGAGACACGGCGGUGGUGUGCAACGCUCCAGCGUGGUGCUGCCGGACAGGUGAGUUGGGGAUAAGCCUGGGCUCUGGGUGGCGCGCACCUACAGGGCUUUUAGACUCCCCUCAGGCUCACGCGUAGGUGACGGGUUCUUUAAGUCACACGCGGUGAGUAACAGCCCUUAGAGGUUGAGAAUGGGUAAUUUACCGAGCGCGGAGGCGCGGCCCUUGGUAAAGGCCCUUAGGAAGCUUUUAAAAGCUAGAGACCUCAGGGUAGGUCAAAAAACACUAGAACUAUUCAUAGCAGAGGUAGAUAGGGUGGCUCCCUGGUUUUUACCCACAGGGCAUUUAAACCUGCCGUCAUGGGAGAAGUUAGGCGGGGACCUCGCCUCGGCGGAAUUGGGAGGCGAUAUUUCGCCGGCUAUUCGCCCCCUGUGGGAAAUGAUACAUGCGUGCCUUGACUCCUAUGCCGAGUUGCGCCGCGAAUUGUGUGCGUGCGCCGCUCGAAAAAAGCAGAGAGAGGAAAAAGGGCCCCCGAGAGCCCUCUGGCGGGGAGGAGAUAGAGAGCCAUCCGCUCCGCCCUGGAACUCUUCUCCAGAAGCGGCUCCCCGCCGAGAGGCCGCUACAGGGAACCCUCCCUUCUCUCAGCCGGCACAGGAAGUGACGCCCCGUUCCACUCUGUCGCGACCGCCGUCCUAUGACGUUGCGCCGCGGGGCGGACGGUAUUUUCAUGGGCGGCUACUCUGCCGAGCAGGCUGAGAAAAACGCCGGUUGAGGAAACGGGGGCUGGGGAUUUAGCUCAGCGGCAUAAGCGCCUGCCUUGUAAGCAGGCAAUCGCGAGUUCGAUCCCUGGUACCGAUUAAAAAAAAAAAAAAAAAAAAAAAACGAAAAAGACCAAAAAUUAAAAAAAUAAAAAAUAAAAAAUAAAAAGGGGGAGUAAGCCAAGGCCUGCCUCCAAAGGCGCGGUUAUCUAUGGCAUGACAAUGGAUGGGCCCGGAUCCGGUGGUUAGCUGGAACCGAGGCGCGGUUUGUGUUUUUCCGCAGGAACCGGGACGAAAACCACUGUGGGUCCCAGAGAGGUUGAGGCGACAAGUCCCUCGACUGAAGAUCAGGCCUGUUCCACCAGGGGCCAACUGCAGACCCAACAACAAGAUGAGUCCUAAAAGAACUGCAGGACAAUCCCUUUUUGGGGGCCUGGAAUGGCUUGCUCCCCUAUGUUUUACCAUUGUUAGGUCCCCUGUGCUCCUUGCUUCUGCUCUUACUUGUAGGACCAUUCUUGCUCCGAUGGGUUACAUCAUUUAUUAAUGGGCGCCUUGCGGCGGCCCGGCGUCAAGUACGCCUGGUUGCCCAUGCGGCCCUGGCAGCAGCCCGUGAUGGGCACAAUGACCCCCAGGCUUACGCAUGGCUCACUCGACUGGCCUACGACUGGGUCUAGAUGUGGCGGGUCUUCCGCACUCCUUCCCUAUUGACACUACACAGCAGGGUAGGUGAGUCAAUGACGGGUAAGAGCGUGCCUUCCCCAGCAUGACUCGACCUAAGCCAGGCCCUACCCCAUGGCGCACGAAAGCCGCUGGAUUACUAGAAUCUGACCAGAUCUAGAUGCCUCUCCGAGGGGAUCACACGGAGGGGCAUGAGUGCAUGCCUAUGUGCAUCCAGGUUCCGUCCAGUUCACUCCUGGCCCUGGAAAAAGGACGAGGGUCUCAAGGCCUUGGUGGACCCGGGGACGGCCGACCAGGGUCCAAGCCAAGGGCCUACGGUGGGCCUCAACACAGGGCAUAAGCCUCUGCACUCGAUCCAGGGCGGGCUGCGAUGCAUACAUUCAUUCAAAGUAAAUAAAAUAGGGGGAGAUGUUGGGAGCCGCGGCCGACACUGGUCGCCUUACUUGGCGGACGUAGGGCCUGUGGGUGGGAGCGGAGCCUGAGCUAGAUUGCCCCUCCCAUCGAGUGAGUCAAGUUGGCGCCUGCUUCCUGCCCCCUGAUUGCGCUGGCGACUUAAACAACCCGCUCUGUAAGAUAGUCUGCCUAGCAACAACUGAUGUUAGCCAAUCAGCCCGCAUCGCGCGCUUUGAACUGAUUGGCCACUGUCACCCUAUAAAAGUGAAUGCCUCUCCCGCCACGAGACAGGAAGCACAGAGAAAGCACAGAGAGAGAUAGAAAAAGUCCAUCGGCGAGAAAGGGCUGGUGGCAGAGUGGAGGCCUCGCGGGGCCCACGCGGAGAUAAAUAAAGGCAAGAUUGCACACCGCCA